CUGGUAGGUGGGGUAACGGCUCACCUAGGCGACGAUCCCUAGCUGGUCUGAGAGGAUGACCAGCCACACUGGAACUGAGACACGGUCCAGACUCCUACGGGAGGCAGCAGUGGGGAAUAUUGCACAAUGGGCGCAAGCCUGAUGCAGCCAUGCCGCGUGUAUGAAGAAGGCCUUCGGGUUGUAAAGUACUUUCAGCGGGGAGGAAGGUGUUGUGGUUAAUAACCGCAGCAAUUGACGUUACCCGCAGAAGAAGCACCGGCUAACUCCGUGCCAGCAGCCGCGGUAAUACGGAGGGUGCAAGCGUUAAUCGGAAUUACUGGGCGUAAAGCGCACGCAGGCGGUCUGUCAAGUCGGAUGUGAAAUCCCCGGGCUCAACCUGGGAACUGCAUUCGAAACUGGCAGGC
rnacentral:rRNA from 1 species